CCGCCUUUAAAAACCAUCUUUGUAAUUCUUGGAAUAAGGUGAUGAUCGGAGAAAAAGAAUUACGCGUUCUACACUGCGUGCGUCAUUUAUUAUUACAGGCUACCAAUCGACAAUAACAUACCAUGAAUUCAGAUGUAAGACUAGUGUUACUGGGAAAGACGGGUGCAGGCAAAAGUUCACUGGGGAAUAGUUUACUUUGGAGAAAAGAGUUUAAGCCCACCCCUCUACAGAUCACAAAUACCUUUAAACUAGAGUGUCGUCGUGGGUCGUCUCAACUUGUGGAUGGGACAAAACUAGUUAUUGUUGAUACACCUGGAAUUGCGGAUACUAAAAUGUCUACCAUGGCCACAUUUGACGAACUUACACGGUGUAUAGAGCUUUCGCAUCCAGGUCCUCACGCUUUCCUGUUUGUCCUGAAGAUUGAUAGAUUUACACAGGAAGAGAUGGACACAAUCAAACAUCUCAAAUAUUGGUUCGGACAGCAUGUCAUGAAAUACGCAAUUUUCGUUUUCACCGGUAAAGAUUCGCUGGAUUAUGCUGGUUUAGCAAUUAGCGAGCAUGUUCAGAACAGUCCAUCUGAACUGAAAGACCUUAUAGCGGAAGCAGGCGGACGUUUUACAGCAAUCAACACUCGGGGUCGUGGCCCUGAACUUGAAAUAGAUGUUAACACCAUAAUGACACUAGUAAAACAAACCAUACAGGUGAACAAUGGUCAAUAUUACACCCAACAAAUGUACCGCCAGGCUGUGAAGGCGAGAGAAGGACAACCAGGUCUGGUGGAAGACGCGGAAUUUGAAGACAUAAAGGAUUUGCGAUUACGGGAGCUAGCGAAACAGUACAAGAGACGUGGUGUUGAACGGGGAUCAAGUAUUGUAACUUGGUUUCUUCAAUGCUGUGGAUAUCUCUGUCGGGGAGUAGGAUAUGUGUUAAAAACCAUUUUUAGUUUUUUUGUUCAGUGCUGUGCAUGGUUAGUGAGAUACUUUGGGGCUUGAGCCGUAAAGUGCGAACACCGACAAAUAGUGAAAAUUUCACUCAAUGAUUCGAAAUACCGGAAAUGUCACAAAACAGUGACAUAUAAUAUAUUUAUCUUUAGUCUGUACUUAUUUUCUGUAAUACAUUCAUUCAAUAACUCCAAUAAAGCAAUUCCUUAAAAUA